AAACCGGAGGAAGGGUGGGGAUGACGUCAAGUCAUCAUCGGCCCUUACGGCCUGGGCUACACACGUGCUACAAUGGUCGGUAACAAAGGGUUGCCAAGCCGCGAGGUGGAGCUAAUCCCAUAAAACCGAUCGUAGUCCGGAUCGCAGUCUGCAACUCGACUGCGUGAAGUCGGAAUCGCUAGUAAUCGUGAAUCAGAAUGUCACGGUGAAUACGUUCCCGGGCCUU
rnacentral:rRNA from 1 species